rnacentral:lncRNA from 1 species
UAUUUUACCAAAAACGCAGGGGAUUUAUUUGAGGUUUGGGUGAAAAAUAAUCUUGUGGGUGGUGGUAGGCCGACAGAUGGGGACAGGAAGCUGUGGACGAAAGCCCCAGGUCCCGUGGGAGAGGUGACAGCACAGGGAAGUGCCCAGCGCACGUGACGGGGGCGGGGCGGGACUUUGGGGAGGGCGGGGCCUAACGGUAUCGAGCGAGCCGGUUGUAGACGUGGUCCAGGUUUCUGCACAGGAAUAUCGAGAGCGUCAUGAACCCGAGCU